rnacentral:lncRNA from 1 species
AAAGACAAAAUUAAAAGUAUUUUCUGAAGGGGACCCGUAUGAUAAUUGUUGGGGUGAGGAAACCUCUUAAAAAUGCAUUUUUGAUCCUCGUCCACUUCACCAAUGUGGUGGUGAUGCUCAGCAAUCUACAUUUUAAACAAGGAUCUCUGUGAUUCCUUGGCCGUUCAAGUAGGAGAACCAUUGAUGGGCGAAUUUUUUUAUCAAGCAAUAUUUUUAAGGAACCAGAAACUCAGGAGUUCUCUCUUCAUGUUGCCCUGCCCUGCCCCAUAUCCAACAGGUCCCUGAGUAGUGGUGAUUCUGUGUGCUCUCUCUAUACCUUCUCCUCCACUCCAUUCCCUCUUUUGCUCUUUGGGGUCCAUCAUUCUUUAUAUGAGGUACUUGUAGCUCCUAACUACCAUCCGCUGUGUCCGUGUGUCCUCACUUAACUCUGAAAUCCGAUUCUGUUCCACCUACUUAAACUAUUCUCUGACUCUGUAAUGUUUAUAGGUUGAAAUCCAAAGUCCUUGAAACAGCUUGCAAGGCGAGCCCCCAGAUUCUCACUCCUCUUUGUGUAUCCUACCUGACACCCUCCACUCAUAACCACACAGAACAGCUCUCACUCUGUGAAGACACACACUCUCCCAUUGAACCUUUGGCUGUCUUUCUACAGCCUGAAAUAACCUCACUACCCCCCUACCCGCCACCUCACCCCUGCACUGAUCCACUUGGGGAAUCCUGUUCAGUUCUGGCAUCCAGGUUUCCUUUCUCCUUGACAGGUGACUCCCCCAGACUUCCGUAUACACCCCCAUGGGUACCUCUGCCAGGUACCCAUGCUCCCUGCACACUCCUCAGUCUGAACUCUUUUCAUACCAUGUUGUAGUUGUGUGCUUGUCUCCCUGUGUGUUGAUUUCCAGGAGUUCAUGCUUAUUGAAAGAAGGCAGAAAAAUUGGGACCAAGAAAGGAUUUUUUUUUUUAGUUUAAUAGAUUUAAUGUUGUUAAUUUAAUGUCAUGGACUUUAUGCCUUGUGUCCACAUGAGACCAAACAUAGGCUUAAAAUAAAGCAGUGUAUAUUUUAGUUGGACCUAAGGAAGGAUGGUUUUACUGCAAAGCUGAUGAAAGACUGAAAUAGAAUAGCAAGAAGAGUGAUGGAGUUGGAGUCUCUUCUAGGUUAUCUUUAAAAUCAGAACCAGUAGAGGUUUGUUUGUGAGCCACGAGCUUGGGGAAGAUUGAAUUUACAUUCUCAGUUCUUUACAUACAUCUUGAACGGUGUUGAAUUUCCUUGUUAAGUGUGUGCUUAUUUCCAAUGAUUUCUGUAGGAUAAUUUCCCAAACAUGGAAUUAAUAGAUCAAGAUAUACACAUUUUGGAUGUCCUUGAUGUAUAUUGCUAAAUUGAUUUUCAGAAAAUUCGUAUCAAUGUUUCCUCUUCUGAUAAAUGAAAAUGGUACUCGUUUUAUUUUUAUUUCUUGAUUAGCUCGUCAAGUAUUUAUGUAUGUAUUAGCUAUUCAUAUUUCUCAGUUUAUAACUUGACUGGUUAUUUGGGGAUUUUUCUGGUCAUUGUUUUCGCCCAUCCCUCUCCUGAGAUUUAAGCAUUUUUCUGAUUUAUUUGAAAGAAUUCUGUGUCAGUGAAUGAUAUCAACCCUGUGUUCAUCUCUGGUAUUUUUCCUUUAUUUGUUAUUUGACAUUUAAUUUUAUUAAUGUUGUUUUUGACAUUUGGGAAUGGUGCCCGAUUUACAAAUUCACUCAAUACAAUGCUUCAAUGUGCAGAUAAGUGUGAUGUGCUUAUUUUGUCCGUAGCUCUGCUGGUCUUCCCUGUCAAAUCUCUUCCAUAGGGUAGGCAGGUAGAAUGUCACUUUUAAGGCUUUUUUCAGUUUUUGAAUUGUGUCUGAGCCGAUUGUUGAAACAGCCCUUUUUAGCAGUGUUUGGUGUGUUGAGAUAAAUGCUUAAUCUCUCUUAUUCCCAAUCUGCUUCCCCAGCUCUGUUCCAAGAUGGAGUUGAGUUAAGUGCACUGCCAAACUCUUUGUGGGGAACUAAAGAGCAGUUGGGACCCACAUGGUACCACCUAAUCUGUGUGUGUGUGUGUGUGUGUGUGUGUGUGUGUGUGUGUGUGUGUGUGUGUUUCUCUCUCUUCCGCCCAGCCCAGUGGUGCCACCUGGCUGGAUGGGCUCUCCGAGGCUGGUUGUCUUAGCGCCCUCUGUCGGCCACAUUCCUUACCCUCACCCUGGUGCCAGGCUUAGAGGCUCUCAAAUCAGGUCCAAGACCCUCAAGGGGCAGGUCCCAAACAUACCUCCUGGGAACCAAGAAGCAUCCAGAAAAGCCACACUUCAGCCCCUCUGAGCCUAAUGCACAGCAGUUUCCCCCGAUGCGAGUGCACCAGGUCAGUAAAGGGCAGCCUCUCUUUGUAAAGGACUGGAUGGAAAUGGGGACAGAGAGCCUUCCUUCCUCUGAGUCUCCCAGAUCCAGGGGCCUCCGCCAGGACAUAUACUUCGGACCAAUUCUUUCCUUCUAUCUCCUCCACUUCCCUUUUCCUUGCACCAUCCUUCUGGCUUUUUAUUUCUCACUUGCCUGGUGUCAAACAUCCUGCUAGCACAGAGCAGCCAGUCUCCUGGCCUCAGCUUCAGGGGCAGAAGUGGUCUUUUCCAUACCCUGGGAGAACUGCAGGAGCUGAUCAGCCUUGCUCACUCCUUGAGGUGUAAAAUUAUGGCCAAACAGAUCGAGACAGUUAGUGAUAGUCACUCUCCUGACCCAGCCCGGCUCUGAGAGCAGUCUCUUCCUCCCCUGCUCUGGACAAGGCAACCUGGCAGGUCUACCCCAGAAGGACCAGGCUGCAGAUGGGACAUGAUUAAGGGGGACAAUUAGUUUGCAUCUGCUUGAUCUUGGCAAAAUAUUGCCCUGGUUACAUAAAUUUUCAAUUUUUAUGUGUGUGUAUCUCACAUUGCUUUUACUCUUGCUAAGUUCUUUCCCAUUUAAGUAAGUACCAGCUACAUUGUUGUCUGUAGUUUCUUUUAGUUUUGUUUUAAUUUGUUUGUUUGUUUGUUUGUUUGUUAGGCCGGCACCCAGGGCACAUGGAAGUUUCCAGGCUAGGGGUCGAAUCGGAGCUGCAGCUGCCAGCUUCGUCCCAGCCACAGCAACGUGGCAUCUGAGCUACCUCUAUGACCUACACCACAGCUCACACAACGCCAGAUCCUUAACCCACUGAGCGCAGCCAGGCAUUGAACCUGCAUCAUCAUGGAUACUAGUUGGAUUCGUUUCCACUGUGCCACAACAGGAACUCCCUCUUUUAGUUUUAAAGAUAUGUUUCUUUAAAAAAAAGUCUUUAGUCUAGGGAUUCCCCGGUGGCUCAGAGGGUCAGGGAUCGGCAUUGCCACUGCUGUGGCUUGGGUUUGAUCCCUGGGCCAGGAACUUCCACAUGCCACGAGCACAGCCAAAAAAAAAGUCUUUAGUCUAUAUAAGAUGUAUUAUAUAAAUGUUGUAAAUUUUUAAAGGUCCAAGUUGUUUUAUUUUUUACCAGUCAGUAGUCUCGUACCUCUUAAUGUAUUCGCUUUCUUGAUUUCACAUGCUUCAAUAUUCUAGUAUUUUGAUUCUUCUUCUUCUCUGCUCCUAAAUGUACACAUUCUCUAAGUCUCUGUCCUUUCCCCUUUUCCCCUCCAUUCUCAUUCCCUCAGCAUCACACAUCCACCUUCAAUAUCAGCCACCUCCUGUAGGUAGGCGCUAAAAACUGUUCAAAAGGCUGGAGGCUGUGUUCCAAUCUCUCUACUGGACUUUUUCACUAGGUUCUUGGCCCAGUCCUCUGGCUUAAUAGAUCCUACCCUCAAGUUCCCAAACCCCAAACUGCCCCCGCCCCUCCCCCACCCACCUUCCUCGUGUCUGUAAAGGGGUCACCAGCCCCUCAUUCCUCAGACUCCAGACUUCCCACUCCCAUUGACAUGUCCCAGGCAUCCUAGACCCCUUCCUGCCACUUUCUGGUCAGUUUCCAAGCCCUCAAGAUCCUUCUUAUGUGGUAUCCUUCUUAUCCUUCCUAGAUUCUUUGGUCCCUUGAAAUCUUGUGUAUUCUUCAAAGACCAGUUGAAAAAUAGCCACUUUCUGGAACCUUCCCUUUAUGCUCCUUCCAAAUCAAAGCAAUCACUGAUUUAUCUAAAUCCUUACAGAUUUUUGUACUUUUCUGAUAGUGCUUAUCUCACUUGACCUUGUAUUAAAGAUGUUUAAAUAGGUCAGUUUCUCCUUCUAUAUUUUAAGUAUCUGGUGGGUAGACUUUGUAUGCUCCCCAGUAAUGCUAUACAGAAAGGAGUGAUCCUUUCUUAACAAAGCUUAUGUUCAAAAUUAGGAAACCUACAGAAGGAGGAUUAGAUUAACUCAUCUUAUAGAAUUAAUAAAACUGGGAAGAAUUCAGGAAAGGUUUAUGAGCAGACUUUCAACCAUGGCAUGCACUCCCUCCAUGGCUCACUCCCGGCCCUCUCUCCUCUUUCCAUGCAUGAACUGAAAGUACGAAAGCCACAUCAUAUUUUGUCUCAUCAACAAAAAUUUGUUAGAGGAAUGAAUGAUCAGAUGGAUGGAUGGAUGGAUGGAUGGAUGAAAGCAAUGGUCCUCUAAAACUUGUGUGAGACUGCUGAUACAGGACCAAAAAAUACACCUGUGUAUGUGUCCAGACUCUCUCGGAAGAUGCCUCCUACUGACUUUCAGUGAGGCGGUGUGCUCACCCCUGGCCUGCCCCUUGGCAAGCCAGGGUUAUGAACAAGGAGACUAUCAGCCUAGCUCCCCUUCUUCCCAAGUCUAACUCUAUGCAUGUAACCCAAUUGCGGGUGAAUCUCAUGCUCUUAUCCCAGGUACCCAAAUAUUGCUUGUAAAAAAAUGACUGGAGCCAUAAAAUAACGAGGCGGAAAGGGAGCUCACUGGAGGUGAGCAUAGCAAAGCAUAAAACAGCUGUCAUCUAUAAAGGGUCAAAUCAUUCUGUAUAAUCAAGAUUAUGUGAAUCAAAACCUCCCCACUGUGUAUCAGGAUGACCAGUGAGUCCGCCUGUCCUUCAUUUCAAGUGCCUUGGGCAUGUAAAUUUCCAGUCCGCCUCAAUAUUAAUUAUGUGUCACCCAACCAGGCAGGAAUUUGGUCUAAGGUUUGUUCGUGUACGUGCAGACACCCUCUCUUUAGUUAAGGGAACCAGCCCUCAGCAAGCGACUGUAGCUACUCUAAUCAGAAUGGCCUCAGGACAAAGGUAAGUGGGAUAAAUUCCUAUUUACUGAAUUAAUAUUACUGGUUCCCUGGGAACCACUUCCCCUCCGUGGAAGCACUUCUGGCAGUCUGAUUUGGGAUUUUUAUCUGGCACUGUUCUGAGACUGGGGCUUUGGGGCCUAUAUUAAUUUUAGAUCCUAGUCUGUGGAGAUUAGUCAUUUCUAUGAACUCUAAUGUUCUGCUGAAAUAGUUUUCCGGAGCAAAAGUGCUUGCUUAUCUGAUCCAUUCUCUUCAGUGCGAAUUCCACCUUAACAUUCUGUGUUAAGGACGAGAAUGAUUAAUUCAUUACCCAAGAUUACAGCAGUAUGCUAAAAGCUACCUGGAGGCAUUUCUUUUGGUGUGAAAUAUUAAAGAUUCAACAUUUAUAUCAGUGCACCUAAUUCAUAUUCCUGAGCCUGUGGGCUGAUAAAGGAACUUGGAAAUAUUCAGUCGUUUUCUACAUUGGUUUGUUAAAAUGUUUCAGAAGAUUACUGCUUUAACUACCUCUUUGAUAAGAACAAGGAGAACUCUAUUCAGGAAGGCUAAAAUACAAAAACAAAAAGCCAUAGUGUCUUUUAUUUCCAAAAAAAUGUUAUAGACCAAGUUUUGAACACUAAUGCUAAGAAAAAGUUUCCUGACAAACAGGCUGAUACCAUAUGGUCACUAAUAAAUAGGAGCUGAAAUACAGAAUCCCUUUGGGAGUGAACAUGAAAAUACUCUCAUAUACCCAGCCAUUUCCAGAGCAGGAAACAGAAGUUUAGUUAAUGUAAUUUCUGCCCCCACCCUUUUUUGAUUGAGUUGUUUGUUUUUUUGUUAUUGAGUCAUAUGAGCUGUCUGUAUAUUUUUGGAAUUAAGCCCUUGUGGGUCAUAUCAUUUGCGUAUAUUUUCCCAGACAUAAAAAUAGCCAAUAGGCACAUGAAAAGAUGCUCAGCAUUGCUAAUUAUUAGAGAAAUGCAAAUCAAAACUACAAUGAGGUAUUGACUUCACACUGGCCAGGAUGGCCAUCAUCAAAAAUUCUAUACAGAAUAUGCUAGAGAGAGUAUGGAGAAAAGGAAACCCUCCCUACACUGUUAAUGGGACUGUAAAUUGGUGCAGCCACUACAGGGAAGAGUAUGGAAGUUCCUUAAAAAACUAAAAAAGUUACCAAAUGAUCCAGGAAUCCCACUCCUGGGCAUAUACCCAGAAAAGACAAAAGCUCUAAUUCGAAAAGAUACAUGCAGCCCAAUGUUCAUUGAAGCAUUGUUUACAAUAGCCAGGACAUGGAAGCAACCUAAGUGCCCAUCCACAGAAGAAUGGAUAAAGAAGAUGUGGUGUACAUAUACACAAUGGAAUAUUACUCAGCCAUAAAAAAGAAUGAAAUAAGGCCAUUUGCAGCAUCAUAGGUGGACCUACAGAUUAUUUACUAUGUGGCAAAGGGAACUAUAUUCAAUAUCU